AUAGUCAGUCAGAGUAGACCCGAAACCGGGUGAUCUACCCAUGUCCAGGUUGAAGUUGCCGUAAAAGGCAAUGGAGGACCGAACGCACAUCCGUUGAAAAGGGUGGCGAUGAGGUGUGGGUAGGGGAGAAAUUCCAAUCGAACCCGGAGAUAGCUGGUUCUCCUCGAAAUAGCUUUAGGGCUAGCCUCGACAGAGUCUGAUGGAGGUAGAGCACUGAAUUUCCUAGGGGACGUCAAAGUCUACCGAAGAAUAUCAAACUCCGAAUGCCAUCAAGAUGCUUGUCGGGAGUCAGACUGCACGAGAUAAGUUGGGCAGUCAAAAGGGAAAGAGCCCAGACCUCCAGCUAAGGUCCCAAAGUGCGUGUUAAGUGGAAAAGGAUGUGGGAUUUCAAAGACAACCAGGAUGUUGGCUCAGAAGCAGCCAUACAUUCAAAGAGUGCGUAAUAGCUCACUGGUCGAGAGGUCCUGCGCCGAAAAUGUCCGGGGCUGAAACACGACACCGAAGCUGAGGAAUUGGACGCAAGUCGAAUUGGUAGAGGAGCAUUGCAUGCGCGACGAAGCAGUACCGUAAGGAGCUGUGGAGUGCAUGGAAGAGAGAAUGCCGGAAUGAGUAGCGAGAUGGAGGUGGGAAUCCUCCAGGCCGAAUAUCCAAGGUUUCCAGAGUAAAGCUGAUCUGCUCUGGGUAAGUCGGGACCUAAGGCGAGGCCGAGAGGCGUAGCCGAUGGACAACAGGUUGAGAUUCCUGUACUGCUGUAUAUCAGAACUGUGGGGACACAGAGGGAAAGCACAGGCGCGGAACGGAAAGCCGCGUGCAAGCGAGGUACCGGACUGGUAGGAAAAACCGCCAGUCAACGGGAAGGCGUGAUGCGUACCGAAAUCAAGUAGGGAAGUGUGUGAGCCAGCUGUCAAGAAAAGCCGCUAUUGCGUAUACAGUACCCGUACCGUAAACCGACACAGGUGGAUGAGGAGAGAAUCCUAAGGCCGGCGGAAGAAGUAUUGUCAAGGAACUCGGCAAAAUGACCCUGUAACUUCGGGAGAAAGGGUGCCUCGAAAGAGGCCGCAGAGAAUUGGCCCAAGCAACUGUUUAGCAAAAACACAGGUCUAUGCGAAACCGAAAGGUGAGGUAUAUGGGCUGACGCCUGCCCGGUGCUGGAAGGUUAAGGGGAGAUGUUAGAGCAAUCGAAGCAUUGAACUUAAGCCCCAGUAAACGGCGGCCGUAACUAUAACGGUCCUAAGGUAGCGAAAUUCCUUGUCGGGUAAGUUCCGACCCGCACGAAAGGCGUAAUGAUUUGGGCGCUGUCUCGACAAUACAUCCGGUGAAAUUGAAGUACCAGUGAAGAUGCUGGUUACCCGCGCCAGGACGGAAAGACCCCAUGGAGCUUUACUCCAGCUUGAUACUGGGAUUCGGUAUUGCAUGUACAGGAUAGGUGGGAGGCUAAGAAGCAUGGACGCCAGUCUAUGUGGAGCCGCUGUUGGGAUACCACCCUUGCGGUAUUGGAUUUCUAACCAGCCGCCGUGAAACCGGCGGUGGGACAAUGUCAGGCGGGGAGUUUGACUGGGGCGGUCGCCUCCGAAAGGGUAUCGGAGGCGCCCAAAGGUUCCCUCAGAAUGGUUGGAAACCAUUCGAAGAGUGCAAAGGCAGAAGGGAGCUUGACUGUGACACCGACGGGUGGAGCAGGUACGAAAGUAGGGCUUAGUGAUCCGGUGGUAUUAAGUGGGAAUGCCAUCGCUCAACGGAUAAAAGCUACCCUGGGGAUAACAGGCUUAUCACUCCCAAGAGUUCACAUCGACGGAGUGGUUUGGCACCUCGAUGUCGGCUCAUCGCAUCCUGGGGCUGUAGUAGGUCCCAAGGGUUGGGCUGUUCGCCCAUUAAAGCGGUACGCGAGCUGGGUUCAGAACGUCGUGAGACAGUUCGGUCCCUAUCCGGCGUGGGCGCAGGAUAUUUGAGAGGAGCUGUCCUUAGUACGAGAGGACCGGGAUGGACUGACCUCUGGUGCACCGGUUGUUCCGCCAGGAGCAUAGCCGGGUAGCCAAGUCGGGAAGGGAUAAACGCUGAAGGCAUCUAAGCGUGAAGCCCCCCUCAAGAUGAGAUAUCCCAUGCGAAAGCGAUAAGACCCCUUGA
rnacentral:rRNA from 1 species